CCUACGGGAGGCAGCAGUGGGGAAUAUUGCGCAAUGGGCGAAAGCCUGACGCAGCGAAGCCGCGUGAGGGAUGAAGGUCUUCGGAUCGUAAACCUCUGUCAGCAGGGAAGAACGGGCACUGUGCUAAUCAGCAGUGAAUUGACGGUACCUGCAAAGGAAGCACCGGCUAACUCCGUGCCAGCAGCCGCGGUAAUACGGAGGGUGCGAGCGUUAAUCGGAAUUACUGGGCGUAAAGCGCUCGUAGGCGGUAUGGCAAGCAAAGGGUGAAAGCCCCGCGCUCAACGUGGGAACUGCCUUUGAAACUGGCAAACGAGAGUGCGUGAGUGGAUAGUGGAAUGCCAGGUGUAGGAGUGAAAUGCGUAGAUAUCUGGAGGAACAUCAGUGGCGAAGGCGACUAUCUGGCACAUAACUGACGCUGAGGAGCGAAAGCGUGGGUAGCAAACAGGAUUAGAUACCCCUGUAGUC
rnacentral:rRNA from 1 species